rnacentral:rRNA from 1 species
UACACGCUGUGACUAGCAUAUCAAUAAGCGGAGGAAAAGAAACUAACAAGGAUUCCCCUAGUAACGGCGAGUGAAGCGGGAAGAGCUCAAAUUUGAAAUCUUAAAGGGUUUCCCUUUACGAAUUGUAGUUUAAAGAAGUGUUUUCUGUUGAGGUUUUGGUAAAAGUUCUUUGGAAUAGGACAUCAUAGAGGGUGAGAAUCCCGUAUUCGACCUUUACUUUCAACUUUGUGAUACACUUUCAAAGAGUACGGAUUGUUUGGGAAUGCAGUCCACAAUGGGUGGUAAAUUUCAUCUAAAGCUAAAUAUUAGGCGAGAGACCGAUAGCGAACAAGUACCGUGAGGGAAAGAUGAAAAGAACUUUGAAAAGAGAGUUAAACAGUACGUGAAAUUGUCAAAAGGGAAGCGUUUGACACCAGUGUUGUUUUUCUGAAAAUCAAUUAAAGAACUGUUUAUGCUAAGCUGUUUAGACUUUAUCAGCUAUCUGUUUAGUUUUGAGCUUUUCUUUAAUGCACUUUUCAGUUAACAAGUCAACAUCAAUUUCUUUUGCUGUAAAAAAGCUUGAGGAAGGUGGCUUGAGAUUCGUCUUAAGUGUUUAUAGCCUCUUGCCUAUGCAGUCGGAGAGAUUGAGGUCUGCAGCGUAGAUCCUUCGGGGCUAAAUGCAUUUGUGCUAAGUUAUAGCAUUUCAUAGACAACUUGUUGACUAUGAUUUGUCUUGUAGCUUACUCGCUUAUGUUAUUUUACCUACGCUUAGGAUGUUGACGAGACUGUCGAUCUC